GCCGAAGUGGCGGAAUAGGCAGACGCGCUUGACUCAAAAUCAAGUGGAGCUUUGGCUCCGUGCCGGUUCAACUCCGGCCUUCGGCACCA
rnacentral:tRNA from 1 species